UUGACCGGCACGUAGACCCCGCACGCGUCUUCAACCUUCGCUCGAACUCCCCUUCCUGUACGACAACGCCGCCACGCCCAGAUCGGUCUCCGGCGAUUCGUGUGACCCCGAACCCGUCGCGCCAAUCCAUGGGCAUCUAGCGAUCCUGCUUCUUCCUCUCGUCCGAUUCCCACAUCCAUCCUUCGGAUCCUUGUUCGAGAUCAACCACAUGGACCUCUCCGAGCUCCGCUACCCGAAGCUCCAUCGAUCGUCGAUUCCGUCACCACCAGCGGUCCUGAGCUCCUCCCUUCUCCUAUACGUCGUUGCCUUACCUUCCCUAUCUCUCUGAGCGAACACACCGACCUCCGCCUGAACAGAACACCGCCGCCCGAGCCUCCCUCCACGGCCAAUUCCGGCGAGAGAGCUCAGAUUCGAGCUAUCCCACCCACACCAAAGAUCGUUGCUGCCGCCGUUGCUCUAGCUGAAUAGAGCGACGCUACCUGAAACUCGCUGUCGCCGCCUCCUGUUCAUCUGCUCGUGCGGUCGUUGCAGGACCCACCAGAGAACUCACGACGAAUACCCUAAGUCCGUCGUGCCGCGCUUCAUCCGUGCUAUUCCCGAAGUCGUCCCCAAUUUUCCUCCGCAGAGACGAGGGCACGGAUUCGAUUAAGCUCCGCCACCGAGCACCCUUCGUCGCUUGAUUCUGAUGACUAUUGAUACCGGAGCAAGCUACCGACACACCCUCGAUCCCAUCGGAGUUUGGCGGCACCACCGAGCGACGACGCCACCAACAGAGGGCACUUCCUUCGCCGUUUUACGCCACCAUCACCACCCCCGUCGAACACCGCACCCACAAUGCCGCCUCAACUUCGAUGGAGGACCACCGGAGUAGUGCCGCCGCCCCCGCCCGUACUGCCGCUGUCGUCCGUUGGCUCACGAUUGCUCGGAGCGUGACGAGUAGAAUUGUCAGGAAUUGUGAGUGCGACGAUCUUCAUCAAAUAUACCAGG